rnacentral:rRNA from 1 species
GACGAACGCUGGCGGUGUGCUUAACACAUGCAAGUCGAACGAUGAAGCUGGAGCUUGCUCCGGUGGAUUAGUGGCGAACGGGUGAGUAACACGUGAGAAAUCUGCCCUUCACUCUGGGAUAACUGCGGGAAACUGUAGCUAAUACCGGAUACUUUCCCUGGUGGGCAUCCACUAGGGAAGAAAGAAUUUCGGUGAAGGAUGAUCUCGCGGCCUAUCAGCUAGUUGGUGAGGUAAUGGCUCACCAAGGCGACGACGGGUAGCCGGCCUGAGAGGGUGACCGGCCACACUGGGACUGAGACACGGCCCAGACUCCUACGGGAGGCAGCAGGGGGGAAUAUUGCACAAUGGGCGAAAGCCUGAUGCAGCAACGCCGCGUGAGGGAUGAAGGCCUUCGGGUUGUAAACCUCUUUUAGCAGGGAAGGAGCGAAAGUGACGGUACCUGCAGAAAAAGCACCGGCUAACUACGUGCCAGCCGCCGCCGUAA